CACACUUGGAAAUGGGCUUUUGGGACCUUCCUCUGCAAGGCAGGUCGGACUUUGUUCAACUGGAAAAGAAAACCUUAGAGGAAAGCUCAAAGGACACCCAUUGAUCUAAGCUGCUCCAGAGACCCGUGCCACUCAGCCAGAUUCUACCGUGUCAGUCUUUCAUGAAUGCUGCUGGAGGAAAGUGGCCGCUGGGGAACCGCUGCAGACAAUAUGCUCAAAACAAAGGGGCGGGAACAGAGAGGAGCUACCUUUGGAAAGGCCAGACUUCUGUGUACCUGCAUGGCCAACUUGUUUUUCAUUAUAUAUGUCAUUUGCACCACAUAUUUACAAACUGAUUUUCAAAAUGCCCAAAAAGAAACAUGAAGCAUUAACGCUUUGGGGGAAAAAUGAUUGGUUUUAGCUGCUGUCUUACCCCUGUUAGUAUCAAUUAAUUACUGGACAUUUUUAAUGACGGAAAAUAUAACCUCAAGAGAGAUGUAUUUGACUUUUUAACUGACUUGUCUCUACGGUUUUAGCACAAGUUGUCUUCAUUAAAAAUGUAGAGGGUGUAAGAGGAUGGAUCCCCGGUUUAACCUCCAGAAUAUUCACAUGCACACACAUACCCUUCCACACACACUCAGUAUUGUGUACCAAGAAAAACACCUGGAGUACACAAGAGUGCAUACAAAUUUGCACGUGCACAUAUAAAAUCAUCUUUGCUUAUUUGUCCCUCUUUAUCUACUUAUCUUUUUCACAAAGCAUCUCUCUAUCUUGUUUUCAUUUCCCCUCACCUGCAGAAGACAGCCUAUGAAAUAUUAAUUACGAUGCACCAUCAAGAUGAUGUGCUUAGCCUGCUGAGGAGCGCUGUGUGUGUGUUUGCAUAUGUGCCUUUCUUGGGGGCUUGUGUUCUGCCUGCUAAUGACUACUGUUUUCAAGACCUCUUGCCCUUUCCUUCUCUUCUCUUGUCUGUCUUUCCCUUUUUCUGCCCUUCUCACCUCUAAUCGUGUACCUCAGCCUCCUGUUUCUCCCACCACUCCCUUUCUCUCCCCACUCCCCCCCGCCUCCCAACUCAAGACGCAGGUUUAAACAACUAGCUUUGAGCUGCGCUGACACCUCGUCAAUGCAAAUUGAAUCUCCUCCAACUCUCUGUCUCACUCAUUUCUUUUCUGUCUCACGCUCUCUCUUUUCACUCCCUUUCAGAGAUUAUGUGGUAAUGAGGGUGUCUUGCUUGUACAGUGGGACCUUGCUAACCUCCCGUUCUUUUGCUCUCACACUUGUUCCUCUCUCUCUCUCCUUUUUCGCUCUUCCUUGUUGUCACUCCUGUGCUGUCCUCUCCUUCUUUCUCCUUCUUGUUACAUCAAUUAAGAGUGAAUGUGGACCACACAUGACCUGUGUGCUCUUGGGCCAUGAGACUGGUGGCUGCUCUGGCUCAUCAAGUGUUUUCCAAUGUCUCAGUGUAGAGUAGACUACAAAAUAAAGCUAUGAAGCUUG